GAGGGCGAUGGCGGCCUGGGCGCGGGCGGUGCGGGGGCUGCUGCUGGAUAUCAGCGGGGUCCUCUACGACAGCGGCGGGGAUGGUGGGGUGCCUAUUGCCGGUUCGGUGGAGGCGGUGCGCAGGAUCAAAGCAUCUGGUCUGAAGCUGCGGUUCUGCACUAAUGAAACCCAAGCGACCCGGGAGAAGUUCGUGAAGAAGCUCCAGGGCAUGGGCUUUGACAUCUCCGUGGCCGAAGUCACUGCCCCAGCACCAGCAGCCUGCCGCAUUUUGAAGGAGCGCAGCUUGAGGCCACACUUGCUCGUGCACAAUGAUCUUGUCCCUGAAUUUGCUGAGAUUGAUAAAACAAACCCAAACUGUGUGGUUAUCGGAGACGCAGCAGAAAAUUUCACCUAUGCAAACCUUAACGAAGCUUUCCAAGUUCUGAUUGGGAUGGAGAAGCCUGUUUUGAUCUCCCUUGGCAGAGGACGCUACUAUAAAGAAACCGAUGGUCUGAAACUUGAUGUUGGAGCAUAUAUGAAGGCAUUAGAGUAUGCUUGUGAUGUUCAAGCUGAGGUAGUGGGAAAACCAGCAAAAAUGUUUUUUGAGUCAGCCUUAGCAGAAAUGGGAGUUCCACCACAGCAGGCCAUCAUGAUUGGAGAUGAUAUUGUGAAUGAUGUCGGAGGUGCCCAGCGGUGCGGUAUGAGAGCUCUGCAAGUGCGGACAGGGAAGUACAGGUGUACUGAAAGGUACUGAGCUACAGUUGAGGUUCUGACCAUCAGCCCACCCAGUGAUAUCUGGUGAUGUCAGUCACGGUUGUGGUUUAAAUCCGCAUGAUUAAUUCUUGCAAGUGCAUGGAUACUGCUCACAGUGGCCAUGGAAGCGUCCGAGAUGGCUAGGCCUUGCGAUGAGAACCACCCCCACGUGAAGCCGGACGCCUAUGUGAACAACCUCGCCGAGGCAGUUGACAUUAUCCUCCAGCAGCUGUAAAACCGACGGCGCCGUGGGCGACUGGAAGGAACGAGGAGGAGGACUCGCGUGCACCCCUCCACGAGGCUGCGGCGUCCUCUCCCACCUCUGUCUGCUUUAACUCUUGGUUCACACCAGGGACCCAGCCCGGAGGUGCCCAGGUGGGAAACGGGGGACCCAGCACCCCUUCACGGACAAGCUUUGCUGUUUAACUCACCCUUUCUCUGCCUUUUGGGGUGCCUGAGAUGGCAUGGGGGAUGUCCUUGAGGGGUGAUGGAAGCCACCGAGCCCCGGGCUGGGGUGCGCUGGCCCAGCCCCGCUCUGCGGGGUCCCGUGCGUGCCUCUUGCUACGGGCGGCACAAAAACCCUGGGGAGGGGCACAGCCCCUGAGCCCUCGGCAAGCCGGCAACCGCGUUUCUGCCACGUUUAGCCCGGCUGGCACCGCUCCAGGUUAGGGCUCAGGAAUCCAGUAAUGCUGUGACACAUUACGGAAUAACCACACCGACCUGUCGGGAAUAAACCUCGUCCUGCAGA